rnacentral:pre_miRNA from 1 species
CCCCGUGGAAGUCUGGAUAUUUUAUAUAAAAAAUUCCAGGCUCUUCGGGAU